AACGAACGCUGGCGGCAGGCCUAACACAUGCAAGUCGAGCGCAGUCCUUCGGGACCGAGCGGCGGACGGGUUAGUAACGCGUGGGAACGUACCCUUUUCUAAGGAAUAGCCUCGGGAAACUGAGAGUAAUACCUUAUACGCCCUUAGGGGGAAAGAUUUAUCGGAGAAGGAUCGGCCCGCGUUAGAUUAGAUAGUUGGUGGGGUAACGGCCUACCAAGUCUACGAUCUAUAGCUGGUUUUAGAGGAUGAUCAGCAACACUGGGACUGAGACACGGCCCAGACUCCUACGGGAGGCAGCAGUGGGGAAUCUUAGACAAUGGGCGCAAGCCUGAUCUAGCCAUGCCGCGUGAGUGAUGAAGCCUUAGGGUCGUAAAGCUCUUUCGCCAGAGAUGAUAAUGACAGUAUCUGGUAAAGAAACCCCGCUAACU
rnacentral:rRNA from 1 species